UAGGGAAUCUUCCGCAAUGGGCGAAAGCCUGACGGAGCAACGCCGCGUGAGUGAUGAAGGUCUUCGGAUCGUAAAACUCUGUUAUUAGGGAAGAACAAAUGUGUAAGUAACUAUGCACGUCUUGACGGUACCUAAUCAGAAAGCCACGGCUAACUACGUGCCAGCAGCCGCGGUAAUACGUAGGUGGCAAGCGUUAUCCGGAAUUAUUGGGCGUAAAGCGCGGGUAGGCGGUUUUUUAAGUCUGAUGUGAAAGCCCACGGCUCAACCGUGGAGGGUCAUUGGAAACUGGAAAACUUGAGUGCAGAAGAGGAAAGUGGAAUUCCAUGUGUAGCGGUGAAAUGCGCAGAGAUAUGGAGGAACACCAGUGGCGAAGGCGACUUUCUGGUCUGUAACUGACGCUGAUGUGCGAAAGCGUGGGGAUCAAACAGG
rnacentral:rRNA from 1 species